CCUACGGGAGGCAGCAGUGAGGAAUAUUGGUCAAUGGGCGAGAGCCUGAACCAGCCAAGUCGCGUGAAGGAUGACUGUCUUAUGGAUUGUAAACUUCUUUUAUACGGGAAUAACAAGAGCCACGUGUGGCUCCCUGCAUGUACCGUAUGAAUAAGCAUCGGCUAACUCCGUGCCAGCAGCCGCGGUAAUACGGAGGAUGCGAGCGUUAUCCGGAUUUAUUGGGUUUAAAGGGUGCGUAGGCGGCCUGUUAAGUCAGCGGUGAAAUCUAGGAGCUUAACUCCUAAAUUGCCAUUGAAACUGGCGGGCUCGAGUGUAGAUGAGGUAGGCGGAAUGCGUGGUGUAGCGGUGGAAUGCAUAGAUAUCACGCAGAACUCCAAUUGCGAAGGCAGCUUACUAAGGUACAACUGACGCUGAAGCACGAAAGCGUGGGUAUCAAACAGGAUUAGAUACCCUGGUAGUCCACGCAGUAAACGAUGAUAACUGGGCGUAUGCGAUAUACAGUAUGCUCCUAAGCGAAAGCGUUAAGUUAUCCACCUGGGGAGUACGCCGGCAACGGUGAAACUCAAAGGAAUUGACGG
rnacentral:rRNA from 1 species